rnacentral:snRNA from 8 species
AUACUUACCUGGCAAGGGAGAUACCGUGAUCAAGAAGGCGGUUCACCCAGGGCGAGGCUCAGCCAUUGCACUCCGGCUGUGCUGACCCCUGCGAAUUUCCCAAAUGUGGAAAUCUCGCUUGCAUAAUUUAUGGUAGUGGGGGACUGCGUUCGCGCUCGCCCCUG